AACGAACGCUGGCGGCAUGCCUAACACAUGCAAGUCGAACGAGACCUUCGGGUCUAGUGGCGCACGGGUGCGUAACGCGUGGGAACCUGCCCUUAGGUUCGGAAUAACUCCCCGAAAGGGGUGCUAAUACCGGAUAAUGUCUUCGGACCAAAGAUUUAUCGCCGUUGGAUGGGCCCGCGUUGGAUUAGCUAGUUGGUAGGGUAAAAGCCUACCAAGGCGACGAUCCAUAGCUGGUUUGAGAGGAUGAUCAGCCACACUGGGACUGAGACACGGCCCAGACUCCUACGGGAGGCAGCAGUGGGGAAUAUUGGACAAUGGGCGAAAGCCUGAUCCAGCAAUGCCGCGUGAGUGAUGAAGGCCUUAGGGUUGUAAAGCUCUUUUACCCGGGAUGAUAAUGACAGUACCGGGAGAAUAAGCACCGGCUAACUCCGUG
rnacentral:rRNA from 1 species